UAAAAGAGAAUGAGGGUUUUAGUAGUUUGCAUUUUCCGACAUAGGAGUACUAAAAUAAGCGAAGGAAAUGGAACUCUGAGCCAUGAGAAACAAGAAUACAGGCAAACCUAUUUAGUAAAAAAAACAAAAUCAAGAAUCACAGAUUCACUUCACUUCCAAAAUGGCAAAUCAGCAUCAUCAAACACAGAGUAGUCUUGAAGCAGUACCUCUUCUAGUGGUCAUACUUAUCGGUGCCCAUGUCCUUGCUCUGGUGUACUGGAUUUAUCGACUAGCAAGUCAGAAGCAACCCCAGAGGCUUAAAAAACACUAGGAUUUCAAUUUUAUGUUUGGGAACAUUUAGUGUUCUUUGAAUGGGGCAAUUGGUUUGUAUAUUUUGUUAUAGACUGGAUAUAUUUGUGCUUCAAUUUGUACUAGGAUGGUAACCCCUUGGUCCUUUUUUUUUUUUAAUACAAUUUCACUUUUGAUUAA